GUGGACAGCGAGAGGUCCAACCUGGAGGACAGAGUGAUGGAGUUGGAGGAACGGCUCAGUGAGACACACAGAGAGUGUGUGAUCAACACCAAGCAGUGUUUUAGGAGUGUGAGCAGGAGUGAGAGACUCACAGUGUCCUGAAGUACCAGUACAAUCAUCUGAGGGAAACUGUAACCUACAGCAAGGAGUCACUACAGGUCUUCUGGAUGAAGCUGAGAAGAAACACGAGCAGGUGCUGGAGUCCAGUGUUCAGCUACAGAAAGAGAUCUACAAACUGGUAUCAGACAUGGACUUACUGUAGCCUCAGCUGAGCUGAAAGAGGAAGAGCUUCUUCAGACUAACAGGAAGUGCAGCAGGUUAAUGGCAGAGUGGAAACAGUACCAGGAUGUUUACUGUACCAUGAAGGUGAAGUACGACGGAAUGAAAGAAUCCGUGAAACAUUUGUAGAUUUUCAUCACAGACUUGUACAGAGCAUGUAGCGCCAUCACUUGGCCUGAAAAGCAGCCUAGUGGUCACGUGGUCGGUUAUGGCGCUCAAUAAGUUCCUGAUGUGGUUUCUGUUUGUAUUUUU